rnacentral:sRNA from 1 species
UAGAAGCAAAUGUCACUGCCACUGUACGCC